rnacentral:rRNA from 1 species
UACGUAGGUGGCAAGCGUUGUCCGGAUUUACUGGGCGUAAAGAGCGCGCAGGCGGUCGUUCAAGUCGCGUGGGAAAGCCCCCGGCUCAACUGGGGAGGGUCACGCGAUACUGAUCGACUCGAAGGCAGGAGAGGGAAGUGGAAUUCCCGGUGUAGUGGUGAAAUGCGUAGAUAUCGGGAGGAACACCAGUGGCGAAGGCGACUUCCUGGCCUGUUCUUGACGCUGAGGCGCGAAAGCUAGGGGAGCAAACGGG